CUUGCGUCCCGACUUGAACGGAGCUCUUUUUUAUUGUUAUCUGAGCGGAGCCGAAGAUGAUAAGAAAAAAAGCGGGAGUGGAAGACGGAUGAAGAC
rnacentral:misc_RNA from 1 species